UACGUAGGGCGCAAGCGUUUGUCCGGAAUUAUUGGGCGUAAAGAGCUCGUAGGCGGCUUGUCACGUCGGGUGUGAAAGCCCGGGGCUUAACCCCGGGUCUGCAUUCGAUACGGGCUGGCUAGAGUGUGGUAGGGGAGAUCGGAAUUCCUGGUGUAGCGGUGAAAUGCGCAGAUAUCAGGAGGAACACCGGUGGCGAAGGCGGAUCUCUAGUACGGUACUGACGCUGAGACGCGAAAGCGUGGGGAGCGAACAGG
rnacentral:rRNA from 1 species